rnacentral:rRNA from 1 species
ACGUAGGGUGCGAGCGUUAAUCGGAAUUACUGGGCGUAAAGCGCGUGCAGGUGGUUCGUUAAGUCAGGUGCGAAAGCCCCGGGCUCAACCUGGGAACUGCGCUUGUGACUGGCGAACUAGAGUACUGUAGAGGGGGGUGGAAUUUCAGGUGUAGCGGUGAAAUGCGUAGAGAUGUGAAGGAAUACCAAUGGCGAAGGCAGCCCCCUGGACAGAUACUGACGCUCA